rnacentral:rRNA from 1 species
GAGCGGGCGUAGCAAUACGUCAGCGGCAGACGGGUGAGUAACGCGUGGGAACGUACCUUUUGGUUCGGAACAACUGAGGGAAACUUCAGCUAAUACCGGAUAAGCCCUUACGGGGAAAGAUUUAUCGCCGAAAGAUCGGCCCGCGUCUGAUUAGCUAGUUGGUGAGGUAACGGCUCACCAAGGCGACGAUCAGUAGCUGGUCUGAGAGGAUGAUCAGCCACAUUGGGACUGAGACACGGCCCAAACUCCUACGGGAGGCAGCAGUGGGGAAUAUUGGACAAUGGGCGCAAGCCUGAUCCAGCCAUGCCGCGUGAGUGAUGAAGGCCCUAGGGUUGUAAAGCUCUUUUGUGCGGGA